rnacentral:tRNA from 1 species
GCCGAUGUAGCUCAGUGGUAGAGCGUUUCCUUGGUAAGGAAGAGGUCAUGAGUUCAACUCUCAUCAUUGGCUCAA